rnacentral:rRNA from 1 species
UUCCCUUAGUAACGGCGAGUGAACAGGGAAAAGCCCAGCACCGAAGCCUAUGGUCGUUUGGCCAUCAGGCAAUGUGGUGUUUAGGUCGUUCCGCAGACGCACUGCUCCACCCUAAGUCCAAUAAUGAGUACGGUGGUACGGACAUGGCCCAUUGAGGGUGAAAGGCCCGUGGGGGUGGAGAUCAGGCGAGACAGUGCUACUCUGGGAGGACCUUGGAGUCGGGUUGUUUGUGAAUGCAGCCCAAAGUGGGUGGUAAACUCCAUCCAAGGCUAAAUACAAGCACGAGUCCGAUAGAGAACAAGUACCGUGAGGGAAAGUUGAAAAGUACUCUGAAGAGAGAGUAAACAGUGCGUGAAGCCGCUCAGAGGUAAACGGGUGGAGUUGAACUGUGAGUUCCGAGGGUUCAGCUGGUGACGAUGAUUGGGCUUGGCUAAAUUGGCCGGGCCUUGGGGUCUGUUUAGCUACAGGUCUCCGCCUUCGGGUGGGGAUGCGCGAUACACUCGUUGAGUGUUGCGCGCCUCAGGGUAACCGGGUCUGGUCGCCAGUGCACUCCCUCGGGACGGUCACCACGACCGGCAUGUCGUCUGUCUGUUGCGGUUAAACCGGCCGUGCAUUGUCCUUGUGGCUUUGUGCGGUCGGGACGGCAGGUAGCUCGUUGGUUUGUUCGCAGACUUUCGGGUGUAAUCAGCUGACUGCGAUUUGACUGUGCGGUGUGUCGGGGACGGCGGCUUGAGGUGUGUGCGUGCGUACCAGUCUGCUGGCGUGUCCGUGUUAGGUUGCUCAGUUGCUCACGUAGUGGGCCAAGCGGCGACUGGGACGCGUGCGGUGGGCGGUUGCGUGCGUGGCACUAUUCUUGGGCCUAUAGUCUGUGGUGUUGCGGUAGACGAUCCACCCGACCCGUCUUGAAACACGGACCAAGGAGAGUAACAUGUGCGCGAGUCAUUGGGCGUAACGAAACCCAAAGGCGCAGUGAAAGUAAAGGCUUGGCUUGUCCAGGCUAAGGUGAGAUCCUGUCGUUUCUUACGCGUGGUACCACCAAGCAUCGAGCGGCAGGCGCAUCACCGGCCCGUCCCAUGGCAUUGGCAGUCGAAUAUACAGUACAGUCGGGGCGGAGCAAGAGCGUACAUGUUGAGACCCGAAAGAUGGUGAACUAUGCUUGUGCAGAUUGAAGCCAGAGGAAACUCUGGUGGAGGAUCGCAGCGAUUCUGACGUGCAAAUCGAUCGUCAGACAUGAGUAUAGGGGCGAAAGACUAAUCGAACCAUCUGGUAGCUGGUUCCCUCCGAAGUUUCCCUCAGGAUAGCUGGUGCUGAGUUUAAACAGUUUUAUCCGGUAAAGCGAAUGAUUAGAGGCAUUGGGAACGAAACGUUCUCGACCUAUUCUCAAACUUUAAAUGGGUGAGAAGCCCAACUCGCUCAAAUGGAGUUGGGCAUUGAAUGCAAGUGCCAAGUGGGCCAUUUUUGGUAAGCAGAACUGGCGUAGUGGGAUGAACCAAACGCUCGGUUAAUGUGCCUAACACGACGCUCAUCAGAUACCACAAAAGGUGUUGGUUGGUCGUGACAGCAGGACGGUGGCCAUGGAAGUUGGAACCCGCUAAGGAG